rnacentral:lncRNA from 1 species
GCCCCUCCACUGACUGAUUAAAUUCAGGGUUGGAGUGAACUGUGAUCUAGUGAACUUUAUUUUCUCUGGCAGUCCCAACGUGCCAUGCAUGCGGUCCCAUAGCUGGAGGUGGGGGUGGUGGUGGGGAGAGGCCCUUCCUCGACUCAUCCUUCCCCUUCCAUUAACACCUCAGGGGACGGGGGCCGACGCAGACGGGACGAAUCCUCAGAAGCGAGUCAACAGAGUGCCCGAUUUGCGGGAAGUUCAUGUCCCACCUGAGGCAACACCUGACGGCACGUCAUAAAGUAGGAAACUUUGCGGAGAAAUGUCUGCUCAUGAACUGGUCCAGUGGACGGUGAGUCAAAGUCAUAGUUGAGUGCUCAACUGCUGUUAUUAUUCUUUAUAUAUUUAUUUUUCUUUAUUUAAACUUUCAUUCCACUACAGCACUCGCUGCAUUGUCUGCAAGAAAUGCAUUCUGUAGUUUCAGAUGUAAUUAUUUCUACCC